rnacentral:lncRNA from 1 species
UGAAGCUCACCCUCUCUCCCUCUAAAACUUCUUUGUCCUUGAAAGACAAUUGAAAACCCUCAAACCAUUGUUAUUUUAUGCUCUUCAAAAGGCCAAUUUUAUAUCUUUGCAAUAUUCGCAACCCAUUAUCUCCGUUUUCUCUUCUCGUGCCUCCACUCUCGAGGAACUAACCCCAUCUGCCCCCUUUUUCUCUUGGCUCUAUAAAGACAUUGUUUUGGUCAUUAAUCCUUUUCAUAUGCUAAAAAUAAAUACACAUCAAAAGUAAGUUUUGAUUUGAGGAUAAAUGCAUACGCAACUUGUGAUUUUGUAUGCAUUCAUGCCUACACCAGGAAUUAGAAAUUAUGUUUUAGUAAAAGAAAGAAUUAGUCAUUGAUAAGCAUGUUUCAUUUCUCG